rnacentral:rRNA from 1 species
CAUACGACCGUACCGCAAACCGACACUGGUGCGCGAGAUGAGUAUUCUAAGGCGCUUGAGAGAACUCAGGAGAAGGAACUCGGCAAAUUGACACCGUAACUUCGGAAGAAGGUGUGCCCUAUUAGUGUGUAGUGAACAACGAAGCAUGAAUGGGUUGCAAAAAAUCGGUGGCUGCGACUGUUUAUUAAAAACACAGCACUCUGCAAACACGAAAGUGGACGUAUAGGGUGUGACGCCUGCCCGGUGCUGGAAGAUUAAAUGAUGGGGUGCAAGCUCUUGAUUGAAGUCCCAGUAAACGGCGGCCGUAACCAUAACGGUCCUAAGGUAGCGAAAUUCCUUGUCGGGUAAGUUCCGACCUGCACGAAUGGCGUAACGAUGGCCACACUGUCUCCUCCUGAGACUCAGCGAAGUUGAAAUGUUUGUGAUGAUGCAAUCUCCCCGCGGAAAGACGGAAAGACCCCAUGAACCUUUACUGUAGCUUUGUAUUAGACUUUGAACAGAUCUGUGUAGGAUAGGUGGGAGGCUUUGAAGCAGGGUCGCUAGAUCUUGUGGAGCCAACGUUGAAAUACCACCCUGGUGUGUUUGAGGUUCUAACCUAGGUCCAUUAUCUGGAUCGGGGACAGUGCAUGGUAGGCAGUUUGACUGGGGCGGUCUCCUCCCAAAGCGUAACGGAGGAGUUCGAAGGUACGCUAGUUACGGUCGGACAUCGUGACGAUAGUGCAAUGGCAUAAGCGUGCUUAACUGCGAGACUGACAAGUCGAGCAGAUGCGAAAGCAGGACAUAGUGAUCCGGUGGUUCUGUAUGGAAGGGCCAUCGCUCAACGGAUAAAAGGUACUCUGGGGAUAACAGGCUGAUACCGCCCAAGAGUUCAUAUCGACGGCGGUGUUUGGCACCUCGAUGUCGGCUCAUCUCAUCCUGGGGCUGUAGCCGGUCCCAAGGGUAUGGCUGUUCGCCAUUUAAAGAGGUACGUGAGCUGGGUUUAAAACGUCGUGAGACAGUUUGGUCCCUAUCUUCCGUGGGCGCUGCAGAUUUGAGGAAGCCUGCUCCUAGUACGAGAGGACCGGAGUGGACACACCUCUGGUGUAUCGGUUGUCACGCCAGUGGCAUUGCCGAGUAGCUAAGUGUGGAAGAGAUAACCGCUGAAAGCAUCUAAGCGGGAAACUCGUUUCAAGAUGAGAUCUGCCGGGGCCUUGAGCCCCCUAAAGAGUCGUUCAAGACCAGGACGUUGAUAGGUCAGGUGUGGAAGC